rnacentral:rRNA from 1 species
AACGAACGCUGGCGGCAUGCCUAACACAUGCAAGUCGAACGAGACCUUCGGGUCUAGUGGCGCACGGGUGCGUAACGCGUGGGAACCUGCCCUUAGGUUCGGAAUAACUCCCCGAAAGGGGUGCUAAUACCGGAUAAUGUCUUCGGACCAAAGAUUUAUCGCCUUUGGAUGGGCCCGCGUUGGAUUAGCUAGUUGGUAGGGUAAAAGCCUACCAAGGCGACGAUCCAUAGCUGGUCUGAGAGGAUGAUCAGCCACACCUGGACUGGGGAACGGCCCCGACCCCCACGGGAGGGAGGAGGUGGGAAUAUUGGGCCAUGGGCCAAAACCCGAUCCCGCCAUGCCCCGUGAGUGAUGAAGGCCUUUGGGUUGUAAAGCCCCUUUUCCCCGGAUGAUAAUGACCGUACCCGGAGAAUAAGCCCCGGCUAACUUCGUG